rnacentral:rRNA from 1 species
UAAAUACUCCCUAGUGACCGAUAGUGAACCAGUACCGUGAGGGAAAGGUGAAAAGCACCCCGGAAGGGGAGUGAAACAGUUCCUGAAACCGUGUGCCUACAAGUAGUUAGAGCCCGUUAAUGGGUGAUAGCGUGCCUUUUGUAGAAUGAACCGGCGAGUUACGAUUUGUUGCAAGGUUAAGCGGAAAAAGCGGAGCCGUAGCGAAAGCGAGUCUGAAUAGGGCGCAUAAGUAACAGGUCGUAGACCCGAAACCAGGUGAUCUACCCAUGUCCAGGAUGAAGGUAAGGUAAUACUUACUGGAGGUCCGAACCCACGCACGUUGAAAAGUGCGGGGAUGAGGUGUGGGUAGCGGAGAAAUUCCAAUCGAACUUGGAGAUAGCUGGUUCUCUCCGAAAUAGCUUUAGGGCUAGCCUCGAGGUAAAGAGUCAUGGAGGUAGAGCACUGUUUGGACUAGGGGCCCUUCUCGGGUUACCGAAUUCAGAUAAACUCCGAAUGCCAUGUACUUAUACUCGGGAGUCAGACUGCGAGUGAUAAGAUCCGUAGUCGAAAGGGAAACAGCCCAGACCACCAGUUAAGGUCCCCAAAUAUAUGUUAAGUGGAAAAGGAUGUGGGGUUGCUUAGACAACCAGGAUGUUGGCUUAGAAGCAGCCACCAUUGAAAGAGUGCGUAAUAGCUCACUGGUCGAGUGACCCCGCGCCGAAAAUGUACCGGGGCUAAACAUAUUACCGAAACUGUGGAUGAACCUCUUUAGAGGUUCGUGGUAGGAGAGCGUUCUAAGGGCGGUGAAGUCAGACCGGAAGGACUGGUGGAGCGCUUAGAAGUGAGAAUGCCGGUAUGAGUAGCGAAAGAAGGGUGAGAAUCCCUUCCACCGAAUAUCUAAGGUUUCCUGAGGAAGGCUCGUCCGCUCAGGGUUAGUCGGGACCUAAGCCGAGGCCGAUAGGCGUAGGCGAUGGACAACAGGUAGAGAUUCCUGUACCAGUGCUAAUUGUUUAACCGAUGGGGUGACACAGAAGGAUAGGGAAUCGCACGAAUGGAAAUGUGCGUCCAAGCAGUGAGUGUGAGAAGUAGGCAAAUCCGCUUCUCGCGAAGCAUGAGCUGUGAUGGGGAAGGAAAUUAAGUACGGAAGUUCCUGAUUUCACGCUGUCAAGAAAAGCCUCUAGGAAGAGUAGUACUGCCCGUACCGCAAACCGACACAGGUAGAUGAGGAGAGAAUCCUAAGGUGAGCGAGAGAACUCUCGUUAAGGAACUCGGCAAAAUGACCCCGUAACUUCGGGAGAAGGGGUGCUCUAUUAGGGUGCAAGCCCGAGAGAGCCGCAGUGAAUAGGCCCAGGCGACUGUUUAGCAAAAACACAGGUCUCUGCAAAACCGUAAGGUGACGUAUAGGGGCUGACGCCUGCCCGGUGCUGGAAGGUUAAGAGGAGUGCUUAGCUUCGGCGAAGGUACGAAUUGAAGCCCCAGUAAACGGCGGCCGUAACUAUAACGGUCCUAAGGUAGCGAAAUUCCUUGUCGGGUAAGUUCCGACCCGCACGAAAGGCGCAACGAUCUGGGCACUGUCUCAACGAGAGACUCGGUGAAAUUAUAGUACCUGUGAAGAUGCAGGUUACCCGCGACAGGACGGAAAGACCCCGUGGAGCUUUACUGCAACCUGAUAUGGAAUGUUUGUACCG